AUUGAACGCUGGCGGCAUGCCUUACACAUGCAAGUCGAACGGUAACGCGGGGCAACCUGGCGACGAGUGGCGAACGGGUGAGUAAUGCAUCGGAACGUGCCCAGUAGUGGGGGAUAGCCCGGCGAAAGCCGGAUUAAUACCGCAUACGACCUACGGGUGAAAGGGGGGGAUCGCAAGACCUCUCGUUAUUGGAGCGGCCGAUGUCAGAUUAGGUAGUUGGUGGGGUAAAAGCCUACCAAGCCGACGAUCUGUAGCUGGUCUGAGAGGACGACCAGCCACACUGGGACUGAGACACGGCCCAGACUCCUACGGGAGGCAGCAGUGGGGAAUUUUGGACAAUGGGCGCAAGCCUGAUCCAGCCAUGCCGCGUGCGGGAAGAAGGCCUUCGGGUUGUAAACCGCUUUUGUCAGGGAAGAAAUCUUCUGGGUUAAUACCUCGGGAGGAUGACGGUACCUGAAGAAUAAGCACCGGCUAACUACGUGCCAGCCGCCGCAGUAACAC
rnacentral:rRNA from 1 species